rnacentral:ncRNA from 1 species
CUUAUCAUGAGAAGUGGAGGGACAGGCCCUAUGAAACUUCAGCAACCGGUUUUAACACGGUGCUAAAUCCUACAGAGAUAUCUGAAAGAUAAGA